AAAACCAGUAGAACAUACAUUCUUUUCAAGUGCACAUGGAACAUUUUCCAGGUAGAUCACGUGCUAGGUCAGAAAACAAGUCUCAAUAAAUUUAAGAAGAUUGAAAUCUUAUCAAGCAUUUUUUCCAAACGCAAAGUCAUUACUAGAAAUCAUCUAUGAGAAAAAAAUUGCAAAAUGCACAAACACAUGGAGGCUAAAUGAUAUGCUACUGAAAAACUAGUGGGUCAUUGAGAAAAUUAAAAAAAAAAUAUGGAGACAAAUAAAAUGGAAAUACUAUGACCCAAAAUCUAUGGGACUCAGCAAAAGCAGUUCUAAGAGGUAAGUUUAUAGUGAUACAAGCCUAUCCCAGGAAUCAGGAAAAAUAUCAAACAACCUAACCUUGCACCUACUGGAAUUAGAAAAAGAAGAACAAACAAAACCAGAAAUUAAGAAAAUAAAUCAUAAAUAUCAAGAAAUAAAUGAAAUAGAGACCAAAAACAAUUAAAAAAUCAAUGAAACUAAGAGAUGAUUCUUUAAAAGGAUAAACAAAAUGGAUAAAACUAAUCAAGACCAAUGAGAGAGAGAGAGAGAAAGGACCGAAAUAAAUAAAAUCAAAAAUGAAAAGAAUUUACAGCUGAUACCACAGAAAUACAAAGGAUCAUAGGAGACUACUAUGAACAAUUUUAUGCCAUAAAAUGGGCAGCUCAGAAGAAAUGAAUAAAUUCUUGGAAACGUACAAUCUCCUAAGAUUUAAUCAGAUAGAAAUGGAAAAUAUGGACAGAGAGACUACCACCAAUGAAGUUAAAUCAAUAAUUUUAAAACUCCCAACAAACAGAAGUCCAGGACCAGUUUUCACAGGUGAAUUCUGACAAACAUUUAAAGAAGAGUAAAUUUAAAGAAGAGUCAAACUAUUUCAAAGAAAUUCAGGAGGAAGGAAUGCUUCCAAACUCAUUCUAUGAGGCCAUCAUAACCCUAAAAUCAAAACCAGACAAAGAUACCAAAGAGAGAGAGAGAGAAGAAAAUUAUAGGACCAUAUCACUGAUAGUUAGGUUCAAAAAUGCUCAACAAAAUAUUAGCAAAUUAAUGUCAACAAUACAAUAAUCAUAUAACAUGAUCAAAUGAGAUUUAUCGGUAGGAUGCAAGAAUGUCUCAAUACCAAUAAGUCAAUCACUGUGAGACACCUCAUUAACAAACUGAAGAAUAAAAAUCAUAUGAUCAUCUCAAUAGAUACAAAAAAAAACUUUUGACAAUAUUCAGCAUCCAUAUAUGAGAAAAACUCUCAACCAAGUGGGUAUUGAGGGAACAUACCUCAACAUAAUAAAGACAAUAUAUGACAAACCUACAGGCAACAUUAUACUCAACAGUGAAAAGCUGAAAGCAGAGUAAAAGAAAACAAAACCAAAAGGCAGCCUACCUAAUAGAAGAAGAUAUUUGCAAAUGAUGUAUCUGGUAGUGGGCUCAUAUCCGAAAUAUGCAAAGAACUCAUACACCUCAACAUCAAAAAAAAAAAAAA
rnacentral:lncRNA from 1 species